rnacentral:ncRNA from 1 species
GAGCGCCUGUGAGGGGUACAGCACGGAUCCUGGACCGGGCUCAGCAUAUGAGACCGUGUCCGGCUUUGCAGGCAGUCAUCCGAUGUACGGCCCUGUGUACGUAAACUUUACGUUUCAAAAUAUUCCU